UCUUAAUGUGAGUGGCAUUGUCAUGUUGUAAUUUUUUGGUGGCAUCCGACAACAUUAAAUCUUUGUGUUGAAAAUUUAUAGAUCGAUGAGCUUGAUGAUGAUCAGGAAAACAACUCGGAGCUCUCGAAUGAAGAUUACAUUAGUCAGUUCAUUUCCGAAUGUCAUAAUGCGUACGACUAUUACGGUGAAUCCGACGCGGAGACAGGCCUUAACGACGAAUCAUUAGAUGCACCUGGUUCUGGGGAGUCCGAGUCGUCGGUCAUCAUGAGUGAGGUGACACAAGAUGAUGGGGCAAAGAAUGUCCAAGAUACUGCCAGUGCAGAUGAUAAGAGGGAUAUGUUCAUGCAGAUAAUGGAAA